UACAGAGGGGGCAAGCGUUGUUCGGAAUUACUGGGCGUAAAGGGCGCGUAGGCGCCUUCUAAGUCGAACGUGAAAUCCCUGGGCUCAACCCAGGAACUGCGUCCGAUACUGGAAGGCUUGAAUCCGGGAGAGGGAUGCGGAAUUCCAGGUGUAGCGGUGAAAUGCGUAGAUAUCUGGAGGAACACCGGUGGCGAAGGCGGCAUCCUGGACCGGCAUUGACGCUGAGGCGCGAAAGCCAGGGGAGCAAAGCGGG
rnacentral:rRNA from 1 species